rnacentral:lncRNA from 1 species
UUCUCAUUUAAAGAGACAAAACAAUUUUGUUCUCUACCUAAUUUGGGCCAUCAUGCAAUAACCACAACUUUUUGGGCUAUAAAGCAAUUAACCUCAACUUUUGGGCUAUAUUGCAAAACUUUUGGGGUCACUUUGUAAAAACACAAAAGUCCACUACUUCAUGUAAUUACAACUAGAACCCAAAAUUUUAAUAAUGCAAAAACUUCAUUAAAGGAUCAAAACAAUUUGUCCUUUAGCGUUUUUGGACCUAAACGUAAAAACGUAAACUUUUGGGUCAAAGUGCAAAUACACAAAAGUAUCAAAACUUUAUGUAAUUGCAUAAAAGCCCCAAAAGUACCCUAUAAUGUAGGGUGGCUGGUUUUCGAGAGGAGUGUGAGUGAUGUGUGUGUUGAUUUGUGAGUUUUGACAUAAAGCAUGCAAGUGCACAAGUGGUGUGUGUGAAAGGGAAUUAAUCCUUUCACACCCACCAUUAUUUCUUACACCAUUUAAACAAAUAUCUAAAACAUUUAAACAUUUGAAAAAACAUAAAACAUAAACUUUAUGAAAUAAAUCAAAACUUUGAAUCAAAACACAAAACUUUUUGUUCUUGGCAAAAAUGUCAAGAACAAUGAAGAACAUUCAUGAAAAACUCAAAAAAUUUCCAUGAACAUUUUUCACCCAAAAACAUCUCAAAACCAUUCAAACUUUAGGGAAAUAACAUAUAACCAAACUAGGAUACAUAGGGGUUCCAAAAGUCACUUAAAACACUUUUAACAAGUCAAACAAGAACCAAAAAAUCCACCCUUUGGAUAUGGCCGAAUUUCCCCAAAAUCAUGGCACCAAAUUUUAGCUCCAAUAUUCAUGCUCAUAUGAACUACAUCUACAACAUUUGAGAUGGCAAAUUUUCUAACAAAAUUUACAUUCAAAUAAACAAGAAUAAAGCUUGUAACAUAUUACAACUUUUAAAUCAAAACUAUGAACUACAAAACCCAAAAGGAUUCACCAACUACUAGACCUAGGCUCUGAUACCACUUCAAGGAUGAUUUUGUGAAAAUAUGUUCAUUUGAAUAACAUCUAUAGCCUGCAUUUAACAAUUAAAAGGCGGAAUCAUGCUUACAUGCAUUCAAAAACAAAACAUUACCCAUGAAAUUCAAAGCCUAGUAGAUUGGUGAACCAAGACUCAACUCAAAACAAAGUGAGUUGAGAUAUUAUACCUUUGUAGAUUCCUCUUUGCAUAAGCAAAGGCUAAUCACCCAAAGAGAGGGCCUUCAUUCCUUGCAUCUUAGAUCUAUGGAUUUUUGGAUGGAUGAAAUGGUUCUCCAAGUUCUCAAAAUAGAGAACCUCUAAGUCUCCACACCAAGGUUAGAUUUAAGUAGAAAUGAGUGACCUUGGAGGAGUAGGAUUGCUAGAUACACCCUCCAAGGGGGCCGGCCUCCUAGAGAGAAAAGGAGAGACAUGUUCUCUCUAAUUUCUCCAAAAGAACCCAUUAUGAAUUUUAGGCUAUAAAGUUCUUUAUAUAGUCACUUCUUUAAAUGACCUAAAGAACCAAAAAACCCUAAUUCAACACACAUGGCCGGCCAUAUAAGGGAUUUGGGCUUUUGGGCCUUUGUGAAUCUUUUAUUCAUUAAAUUGUCAUACAACUUAAGUCAAUGGGCUUGACGUUCGAAGCCCAUUGGGCCUUAAGGUCCAAAACUAUCCCGAGGUCUUUAACGAACUUAUUCGUUUGAUUAAUUAACAUAUUAAUUAAUCCUUGCCAUAAAUAAUUAAACCAUUUAAUUAUUCUUACUCAUCUCCAUUGUUUCUUCAAUCUCCAUCUUACACGGUGUACGAUCCAUUAGGUUCUUUUUAGCGAGCAGUGGGCGAUUAAAACUCUUUAAAAUCGAUUGUGAAUUGAAACUUACUUUCAAUUCUCCCUUUAGUGUUUAUACACGUUUAGGGCUUCCACAAACCAAGAGUGACACCUAGCAGCAUAUCAUGGUUACCCAAACUAAUCAGAAGAGGUAGAGAACCUAUUCAGUUUAGGAUUACAAAUGCAAUACGGUCUUUCUCUAAUACAAUACUCUUGACCACAUUGUUUGGUUUGAUAGUUUAUUCAUGUCUACAAUCCAAUGUGAUUCGUGCGCUUAUAUGAUUGCCUUGAAUGUGAUUUGGAACGACUUUCCUAAAUCUCAUUCAUACUCUGGCCAAAGAUUCUAAAUCAUAUCAUAGAGUAUUCUCCCCCAAAGGGUUUGAAGGUUAGAGAUCCCUUGUUGCGCAUUUACUUGCCUCCAUAGCUAAGUGGCUUAACCCCAACGAUGCCGUGGACACCCGCAGAUGGGGUGACUUUGACAUAAUCAAAGAUCAAGGACUUAACCCCAAGACAAACGUGAUGUCUCAGGUCAAAGGACUACUUUGCAUUAUCCCAACCAUGAGUUCUCAUGUGACAUGAAUAUGAGAACUCUUCGUUGAUCGUGUUCAGUGAACUCAUUCUCUAUUGAGCACCUACGUACUUGUCUUGAUGUCACACACACCAAUGACUCGAGACUAGUCACUCUCCCUGAGAGAAGACACAGCACGUACUGAUCUUAACGAACUGUCAAUGCCCAAUUGGCAAUCCUAUGAUCAGGAACGUUUAGGGUGUGUCUUCGAAAGAAUGGUCUCAUGAAUCUAACUUCUUUAGAUUGCAUUCUCCCAAUCACAUAUUCCUUGGACUUAUCGUUUAAACAUAUAACAUUUAUAUGAGACGGCUCAAACAAUAAUCUUUGCCCUUUAUAAUUUAAACUAGAUUAGUUUAACAUGUGAAAUGUCCGUAAAGUAUCAUCAUAUGAUUGGCUUUAGGGCACAUUUCCAACAUGCAUAUAUUUACUUAAUUUAUUUACCAUCGAAUGAUCAAGUAUGCAACCAAAAAGAAAAUAUUAUAUUCAUCAUAUUUGAUCAUUAGAUGGUGAAUGUAUUAAAUACAUGCAUUUACCGUAUCAAGUUCGUUAAGACUUGAUAGGAUAAUAGAAAGUAGUCCUCUUCCGAAAGCCUUUGUGCGGUGCACUUGUCAUAAUAUAAAUGGAUAUAAGUUUUUUUUUCAAGUUUUCCUCCACCUGUAUUACGACAUGUGGUGUACCAGUGUAACCAACCUGUGUCCUGGAUACACUGAAUGUCACAGCCCGUCCCGGAGGUACUUUUGGCGGGAAUGUGAAAGGACAAAAAUGCCCUUGU